rnacentral:rRNA from 1 species
CAUAUGCUUGUCUCAAAGAUUAAGCCAUGCAUGUCUAAGUUCACACUGUUUCACGGUGAAACCGCGAAUGGCUCAUUAAAUCAGUCGAGGUUCCUUAGAUGACACGAUCCUACUUGGAUAACUGUGGCAAUUCUAGAGCUAAUACAUGCCUGUGAAGCUCCGACCCUCGUGGAAAGAGCGCUUUUAUUAGUUCAAAACCAAUCGCCGUGUCGGGCGUCUUCGCGGGCGCUCGUGCGCGGUGUCCCCCAUUGGUGACUCUGGAUAACUUUGUGCUGAUCGCAUGGCCUCUUGUGCCGGCGACGCAUCUUUCAAAUGUCUGCCCUAUCAAAUGUCGAUGGUACGUGAUAUGCCUACCAUGUUUGUAACGGGUAACGGGGAAUCAGGGUUCGAUUCCGGAGAGGGAGCAUGAGAAACGGCUACCACAUCCAAGGAAGGCAGCAGGCGCGCAACUUACCCACUCCCGGCACGGGGAGGUAGUGACGAAAACUAACAAUACGGGACUCUCUACGAGGCUCCGUAAUUGGAAUGAGUACACUUUAAAGCCUUUAACGAGGAUCUAUUGGAGGGCAAGUCUGGUGCCAGCAGCCGCGGUAAUUCCAGCUCCAAUAGCGUAUAUUAAAGUUGUUGCAGUUAAAAAGCUCGUAGUUGGAUCUCGGGUGCAGGCGGACGGUCCGGCUCGCGCCGGUUCACUGUCCGUAAUUUCUCUCCUGCCCUACUGGUCUGCCGGCUCUCUCCCGCGGGUGCUCUUCGCUGAGCGUCCCGGGUGGCCGGCGCGUUUACUUUGAAAAAAUUAGAGUGUUCAAAGCAGGCCUCGGCUGCCUGAAUAAUGGUGCAUGGAAUAAUGGAAUAGGACCUCGGUUCUAUUUUGUUGGUUUUCGGAACUGGAGGUAAUGAUUAAAAGGGACAAACGGGGGCAUUCGUAUUGCGGCGUUAGAGGUGAAAUUCUUGGAUCGCCGCAAGACGAGCUACUGCGAAAGCAUUUGUCCAGAAUGUUUUCAUUAAUCAAGAACGAAAG